GGGAAGGUGGCUCAGUGGUAGAGUGCUUGCCUUUCAUGUAUGAGGCUCUGGGUUCGAUUCCUCAGCUCCA
rfam:Dipodomys ordii contig_32844, whole genome shotgun sequence.